rnacentral:rRNA from 1 species
AUGGUUACCGAAUUCUCUGGUUUGGACCUACAUCUAAGAACCACAGGGCAUGCGUUUGGAGCAGUUGUGUUGCGUCUCAUGGGGAUGCAUCGGAUCCGUACAGCUGCACGGAACCUUAGGAUCGUCCUACUAAAAUCAGAGGUGAAAGAAGCAUGCCCAGUAAAUUGUCUCUGUGAUGAGCCCAAGGACUGGAGAACACAAACUAUCUCCUUGGUUAAUCUUGAAACCGUGGAGAUUGAAGGUGUUGACGGGGAGGAUCAUGAGAUUGAUUUUUUGGAAGUGAUAUUUACAUCUGCUCCAAUGCUUAGAACAGUGGUUGUGAGGCUGGCAGAUGGUGUCACCCCAUGUGUCGAUUGGUGCACAAAAGUAAACAACAUCUUCAAGGCGUAUCCUUUUGUGAAGUGCAACACUGAUCUGGGUCAAUAUGUAGUAGACAAAGUUCUGCAUUGA